rnacentral:rRNA from 1 species
UACGUAGGGGGGCUAGCGUUAUCCAGAAUUACUGGGCGUAAAGCGCGUGUAGGCGGCUGGUUAAGUGUGAUGUGAAAUCUUCGGGCUCAACCCGAAAACUGCAUUGCAAACUGGCCUGGCUAGAGUGCAGGAGAGGGAAGCGGAAUUUCCGGUGUAGCGGUGAAAUGCGUAGAUAUCGGAAGGAACAUCAGUGGCGAAAGCGGCUUCCUGGACCAGCACCGACGUUCAGGCACGAAAGCGUGGGGAGCAAACAGG